CGUAGGGAAGGACUCGCCAUCGAACAAGAGUGGAAGGAAGGUGGGGAUGACGUCAAGUCAUCAUGGCCCUUAUGUCCAGGGCGACACACGUGCUACAAUGGCCGGCACAACGGGAAGCGAGUUCGCGAGGACGAGCGGAUCCCUUAAAGCCGGUCGCAGUUCGGAUUGAAGUCUGCAACUCGACUUCAUGAAGCUGGAAUCGCUAGUAAUCGUGGAUCAGCCAAGCCGCGGUGAAUACGUUCCCGGGCCUU
rnacentral:rRNA from 1 species